CCCAGAGUUAUUCCUGGGAAAUGAAGAGUUGUGACCACACUAGCCUUACAGCUACUCUGAGUAUUCCAUUCUAGAGCUUGAUGACUGGGGACAUUUCCAAAGGGGGGAUGUGUUUUCACCCAGCCUAUUCACCAGAUCUGGUACUGAGACUUUCAGCUCUUCUCCCAAAUCAGUAUGUCCAUGAAAGCUGACUCCUCUUCCUGCAGCACCAUGAGGCUUGCCCUGGCCAAGUUUGCACUCCCCCAAGGCUUGUCUCCUGCCUUCACUGACUGAAUCCCCUGACUGUCAGGAGAGGCUGUGUCAAUGCCUUUGAUGAUUCCUUCCCAUACCUAAGCAUGGCGCUUCCUGGAGUCCUAUGCAUAGAGUGGAUUGGCUGGUGGACUUCCUAAGCUAUGAGCUCAGAUUCUGCAGGCUGCUUGUGCACGUGGCUAUUUAUACAUAUGUUGGGGAUGGACCCUGUCCAUCACAAUCUCUGCUCUCCUCUCAAACAAUCUGGUAGAAGUGUAGGAAUACCAGAAAGAGAAUCACUUCACAAAUC